AGAAGGCCACUAAUGAGACACAGUGAGGUCAAAAGGUGUCUACAUGCCUUACAGGGUGUUGCCUUUUCAGGUGUUGUGAGUGGUCCAACCAGUUCUGCCAGGUGAUGACAUCACCAGAGUCAAGGAAAAUCUUCACAGCUCUUUGAAAGAGAACCAUGAGUUCUGCCAGUCCAACAGUUACUGAGCUGACACCCCUGGCAUGUUUGGAUACCCAAAAUAAAGGUGUAAGAAUUGCCCUCAUCGUGCUGAACCAACCCCAGUCACUAGGUGUCCUCACUGUGCUGUGGGAGAAAGCUGUUCUGAAAGCAGUCACAGAUGGAGGGGUGAACAGACUGAAGGACACC